GAUGAACGCUGGCGGCGUGCCUAAUACAUGCCAGUCGAGCGAACAGAUGAGGAGCUUGCUCCUCUGACGUUAGCGGCGGACGGGUGAGUAACACGUGGAUAACCUACCUAUAAGACUGGGAUAACUUCGGGAAACCGGAGCUAAUACCGGAUAAUAUAUUGAACCGCAUGGUUCAAUAGUGAAAGACGGUUUUGCUGUCACUUAUAGAUGGAUCCGCGCCGCAUUAGCUAGUUGGUAAGGUAACGGCUUACCAAGGCAACGAUGCGUAGCCGACCUGAGAGGGUGAUCGGCCACACUGGAACUGAGACACGGUCCAGACUCCUACGGGAGGCAGCAGUAGGGAAUCUUCCGCAAUGGGCGAAAGCCUGACGGAGCAACGCCGCGUGAGUGAUGAAGGUCUUCGGAUCGUAAAACUCUGUUAUUAGGGAAGAACAUAUGUGUAAGUAACUGUGCACAUCUUGACGGUACCUAAUCAGAAAGCCACGGCUAACUACGUG
rnacentral:rRNA from 1 species